rnacentral:rRNA from 1 species
AGAGUUUGAUCAUGGCUCAGAACGUACGCUGGCGGCACGCCUUAUACAUGCAAGUCGAACGAAGUAGCAAUACUUAGUGGCAGACGGGUGAGUAACAUGUAGGUAUCUACCCUUUGGUGAGGAAUAACACGAGGAAACUUGUGCUAAUACCUCAUAAGUCUUUACGGAGAAAGCUUUAUGCGCCAAUGGAUGAGCCUGCACUUGAUUAGUUUGUUGGUGGGGUAAUGGCCUACCAAGACUUUGAUCAAUAGCUGAUUUGAGAGGAUGAUCAGCCACAUCGGGACUGAGACACGGCCCGAACUCCUACGGGAGGCAGCAGUGGGGAAUCUUGCACAAUGGAGGAAACUCUGAUGCAGCGAUGCCGCGUGAGUGAAGAAGGCCCUUGGGUUGUAAAGCUCUUUCGUCGGGGAAGAAAAUGACUGUACCCGAAUAAGAAGGUCCGGCUAACUUCGUGCCAGCAGCCGCGGUAAUACGAAGGGACCUAGCGUAGUUCGGAAUUACUGGGCUUAAAGAGUUCGUAGGUGGUUGAAAAAGUUGGUGGUGAAAUCCCAGAGCUUAACUCUGGAACUGCCAUCAAAACUUUUCAGCUAGAGUUUGAUAGAGGAAAGCAGAAUUUCUAGUGUAGAGGUGAAAUUCGUAGAUAUUAGAAAGAAUACCAAUUGCGAAGGCAGCUUUCUGGAUCAUUACUGACACUGAGGAACGAAAGCAUGGGUAGCGAAGAGGAUUAGAUACCCUCGUAGUCCAUGCCGUAAACGAUGUGUGUUAGACGUUGGAAAUUUAUUUUCAGUGUCGCAGCGAAAGCGAUAAACACACCGCCUGGGGAGUACGACCGCAAGGUUAAAACUCAAAUGAAUUGACGGGGACCCGCACAAGUAGUGGAGCAUGUGGUUUAAUUCGAAGAUACGCGCAGAACCUUACCAACACUUGACAUGUUCGUCGCGACUUUAAGAGAUUAAAGUUUUCGGUUCGGCCGGACGAAACACAGGUGCUGCAUGGCUGUCGUCAGCUCGUGUCGUGAGAUGUUGGGUUAAGUCCCGCAACGAGCGCAACCCUCACUUUUAGUUGCCAUCAUUAAGUUGGGCACUCUGAAAGAACUGCCAGUGAUAAGCUGGAGGAAGGUGGGGAUGACGUCAAGUCCUCAUGGCCCUUACGUGUUGGGCUACACACGUGCUACAAUGGUAUUUACAACAGGAAGCAAGACGGCGACGUUAAGCAAAUCCUUAAAAAAUACCUCAGUUCGGAUUGCACUCUGCAACUCGAGUGCAUGAAGCUGGAAUUACUAGUAAUCGUGGAUCAGCGUGCCACGGUGAAUGCGUUCCCGGGUCUUGUACACACCGCCCGUCACACCAUGGGAGUUGGUUCUACCUUAAGGCAAGGUUUAAAAUCCUUGACCACGGUAUAGUCAGCGACUGGGGUGAAGUCGUAACAAGGUAGCCGUAGGGGAACCUGCGGCUG